rnacentral:rRNA from 1 species
UACGUAGGGUGCAAGCGUUGUCCGGAAUUAUUGGGCGUAAAGAGCUCGUAGGCGGUCUGUCGCGUCGGCUGUGAAAACCCGGAGCUCAACUCCGGGCCUGCAGUCGAUACGGGCAGACUGGAGUUCGGCAGGGGAGACUGGAAUUCCUGGUGUAGCGGUGAAAUGCGCAGAUAUCAGGAGGAACACCGAUGGCGAAGGCAGGUCUCGUGGGCCGAUACUGACGCUGAGGAGCGAAAGCGUGGGGAGCGAACAGGA